AAAAUGUACGGAAGGCUACGCGUUUUGGGCUGAUUAAACCGAAGGGAAAUAUGGCAAAAAGCGACUCAUAAAGCAACAUACAUGUGGACCGAGGACGAGGUAGAACUACUUUCUCUUAGUACAGUAUAAAGUGAGGAAAGUUCAGGAGGGCACGGAUUACAUGCUACUAAUAGCCUAUAAACAUUAGCUCUCGCCCAUGUUCAUUUUGUCAAAGUAGCUCUUGGAGGAAAAAAGGUUGGCGACGCCUGCUUUAUAUCAACACCAGCAAUUGCCACUUACACCAGGUCAAUAAUGAAAACACCGAUGCGCUGUUAGAUCUUGCACUGCUUGCUGGAAUGACGGAUGUCACUCUCAUUGGUUUUACACCCAAAAGACGUGCCACAGCGGGCCAGAAUAACAAACAUAGCCUACCUUAUAUUCUACAUACGUGUACAUCCUCUAGGUUUGGAAAUGAAGAUGACUUAAUCCAACAUGUUAUAAUCCAUUGAGUAGGCCUAGCCUAGGCUAUGUUAGCGUCAAAAGACAAGACUUACUUAGCUACAUGAAGUAAACAACUAAACAACUCUAUAAUUAACUCAGAAGUCAGCAGGCAGUUGCUGUGUGAACCUGUGUGAGGUGAGCACGAAAUAGUAUGCGAAAUGUUAAAAAUAAUCGCAUAUCACGUGUGGUGUCUAGGCUACAGUUGUG